rnacentral:rRNA from 2 species
UGGAUCCAGACUUUGAUUCUGGCUCAGGAUGAACGCUAGCUACAGGCUUAACACAUGCAAGUCGAGGGGAAACGAUAUUGGAAGCUUGCUUCCGAUAGGCGUCGACCGGCGCACGGGUGAGUAACGCGUAUCCAACCUGCCCAUCACUUGGGGAUAACCUUGCGAAAGUAAGACUAAUACCCAAUGAUAUCUCUAGAAGACAUCUGAAGGAGAUUAAAGAUUUAUCGGUGAUGGAUGGGGAUGCGUCUGAUUAGCUUGUUGGCGGGGUAACGGCCCACCAAGGCGACGAUCAGUAGGGGUUCUGAGAGGAAGGUCCCCCACAUUGGAACUGAGACACGGUCCAAACUCCUACGGGAGGCAGCAGUGAGGAAUAUUGGUCAAUGGACGAGAGUCUGAACCAGCCAAGUAGCGUGCAGGAUGACGGCCCUAUGGGUUGUAAACUGCUUUUAUAAGGGAAUAAAGUGAGAGUCGUGACUCUUUUUGCAUGUACCUUAUGAAUAAGGACCGGCUAAUUCCGUGCCAGCAGCCGCGGUAAUACGGAAGGUCCGGGCGUUAUCCGGAUUUAUUGGGUUUAAAGGGAGCGUAGGCCGGAGAUUAAGCGUGUUGUGAAAUGUAGAUGCUCAACAUCUGCACUGCAGCGCGAACUGGU